UGAUUUUGAUCAGUUACCUGUAUUUUGCUUCAAUUUUUUUUUAUUUUCUAUUUUCACUGCUUAUUAAUUAUUUCCGUUACAGGACUUUGGCUUACCAGUUACCAUUGGCCAUGACCUUUGGCUUUCCAUGCCAUAAUAUGUAUAGUCUGAGCUAUCGAUGAAAAUUUGUGUCCCCUACCAAAAAUUGAGGUUGUUCUGCUCGAUAUAAUAUGCUCGUGUGUAUAUUUUUUAGGAGUUUCUAUUCAUAGUUCCAUUUUACCGAGGUGAUUCUCAAGCUCUUUCCUUUUUUAUUGCUUAUAUGUAUCUGUGCGGUGAUUUUGAUCAGUUAUUGGAGUUGAGUGUUUAUUAAUUUGGUGAUUCUUUGAUGGGUGUUCUGAUUUUUGAGUUUCUUGGUGUCUCCGGAUUGUGGGUCUUUUUGAUAGUUUUCAGUCAUUUCGGUGUGAUUGAUGAAUUGCAGCUGGCCUCAGAAAUGGUUUACGAUUACCAAUUUUCUGAGGAAUUUAUAAUUGGUUGCAUUGGGUCAUGACAGUGCCGCAAGUCUGGAAUUGGCAAAUUCACACUCACAGAUCGAAGCUUAGAUCAACAAACCUCUUUCCGCGAGGCAUAUGAAAAAUGGGGCUCUUUUCAGAUUGAAAACCAUGGGAUUGACAAGCAGUUGAUGGAAAAGGUUAAAGACCUGGUGAAUCAGCAUUACGAAGAAAAAGGCAAUAGGACAACCCUUGACCGGGAAACUGCGCUUUUUAUCGGGCAUCACCUGGAUUCUAACCGAGAUCUCCAACCUCUCACAGGAAUUCAGUGCUUGAACUAACUUCUGCAGAGCAACUAAAUGCAUGAACAGCAAAGCAGUAAAUGAGUACAUUGAUCAGUUGAUAGUGUUCCAGAGAUCAGUGAUGAUCAAGUUCUUCUCAAAGUUGAGGUUGCUGCUCUUGACCCUGUUGAUUUAUAAGCGCAUAUAUGCUCGGAUAUUUCAAAGGCAUCGACUCUGCUUUACCGGAAGGGUCGAACCCGGUGGUUGUUAGAUCAAGUGAUCACAGGAAGAAGCUUUUGUCAAGGGAGAGUUGUGUGAUUAAAAAUGGUAAUGUUAUAGAGUUGAUACCUGGGUAUCACUUCUUUACGUUUUUGAGUGUGAGAAAUAGUGUGGCACCGAGUAGUCAGAAAAAGGAUUGUAGUGAAGGGAAUAGAGUAGGUGAUGAAGAUGAAUCUGUUAGUUGGAAGAGGGCAAAACAUGUUUCUCAAGACGAAGCAUUUUCCAGCAGGUUCCUUUCUAUUAGGCGCAGCGUUGAGCUUUUUUUGGUUUAAGCCAACAGAGAAUAGUUCUUUGAUUCCAGACCUUCAAUGCAGGUUGAACCCUCUGUUUAUUUGCAGAAUUAAUUAGGUUUUGAAAUUUUAGAAUGUUUGCCAUCUAUGUUUUGCAGACCGAAAUUUAGCUACAAGCCUGCGAUUCUGUAUAAUAAGUUUCAAUUAGGAAUGAGUUCCGUUGUUUAUUGCUGAUUUAUAUGGUUGUUUAAUCAAUUUCCUUCCCCUUGAUGCAAGUGUGGAUAUGGUUUUUGUUACAGUUGUGCAAGUCCUUUGAUAAGCCACCAAUGUCCUAAAUGUAACUAGGCAAUGAAUACAGCCAGGCAAGUCGUAGGUACCUCUGAUGAGCUAAUGACCUCUGAUGAGCUAAUGACUUUAGUACCAACUAUUUAGAAAUUUACUUGCAUGAAGCAUCAAUGUGAUCCCCUGUGUUUAUGUUGGAUUUUAUGCAAUGUAUGAUCUAUUGAAUGUGUUCUAUAUAUU